rnacentral:rRNA from 1 species
GACGAACGCUGGCGGCGUGCCUAAUACAUGCCAGUAGAACGCUGAAGGAGGAGCUUGCUUCUCUGGAUGAGUUGCGAACGGGUGAGUAACGCGUAGGUAACCUGCCUGGUAGCGGGGGAUAACUAUUGGAAACGAUAGCUAAUACCGCAUAAUAGUAGAUGUUGCAUGACAUUUGCUUAAAAGGUGCAAUUGCAUCACUACCAGAUGGACCUGCGUUGUAUUAGCUAGUUGGUGGGGUAACGGCUCACCAAGGCGACGAUACAUAGCCGACCUGAGAGGGGGAUCGGCCAAAAUGGGACUGAGACACGGCCCAGACUCCUACGGGAGGCAGCAGUAGGGAAUCUUCGGCAAUGGACGGAAGUCUGACCGAGCAACGCCGCGUGAGGGAAGAAGGUUUUCGGAUCGUAAAGCUCUGUUGUAAGAGAAGAACGAGUGUGAGAGUGGAAAGUUCACACUGUGACGGUAUCUUACCAGAAAGGGACGGCUAACUACGUG